AGGUUUUUAAUUUAAAUUAAAAUACAUCCUUGUCAAGGGUGAAAUACUCAUAGAGUAGAGCCUG
rnacentral:tRNA from 1 species